CCCUUAGGACAGUAUUUCCAAAGUUCAUCAUUGUUGUAGUGGGUAUCAGUACUUCACCCCUUGUCAGUGCUGAAUAAUAUUCCAUUGUAUGGAUGAUGUCACAUUUAAUUUAUUCAUCAAUUGAUGGACAUUUGAAUUGUUUCUGCUUUUGGGCUAUUAUAAAUAUAAUUAGUAUUGCUGUGAAUAUUCAUGUACAAAUUUUUAUGUAAAGAUAUUUUCAUUUCUCUUGGUUAUAUAUCUAGCAGUAGAAUUGCCAGAUCAUAUAGUAAUCUACAUUUAACUUUUUAAGGUUAUGUAGAACUUGACUAUUUAGAAAGUGCUUUAUAGCCUUUGUAUUUUUUUUUUUUUUUCAUCAUAGUAACUGACUGAGAAAGCAAAUUGAAGAUCUGGAAGGUUAGAUGGCCUAGAGGAAAACUUGCACAUGCCACAGAAAUAUAUUUAAAAUGAGGUUCCAGCGUUCUAGGGCAGAGCUGCAGCCUCAGUAUAUAUUGGUCAGGAAAGGAAAAUAAAAUGUGUGAUAAUCCAGUAGUGGAAGACUGUAUUGCAGGUGUGUCUCUGUGUGUAUAGCAUCUUUGUGUAUAUAGAUAAGCAGGAACAGACUUAAAACCAUAAAACAGGUGAGUGGAAAAACUGGAGUUGCAGAAUGGAUAGAUACAGUGUAACAUCAUCUAUAUAAGUUAAGAAAAUCAGGGCAGCCCUGGUGGCGCAGCGGUUUAGCGCCACCUGCAGCCCGGGGUGUGAUCCUGGAGACCCAGGAUCGAGUCCCACGUCAGGCUCCCUGCAUGGAGCCUGCUUCUCCCUCUGCCUGUGACUCUGCCUCUCUCUCUCUCUCUCUCUCUGAAUAAAUAAAAAAGUAAAAUCUUAAAAAAAAGAAAAUCAUAAAAUAAUGCUGUAUACUGCUGUGCAUUUGAAAUAGUACUAAAAUGGCUAUGAAGGGCAUUCACCAAACUGUGUACUGGUUGCUUUGCAUCCCUAUUCCUGAACUUUAAAAUCUUUGCCAUUUCUCCUUACUAUAUAUUUAACGGAUUAUUUGUUACAAGACGGUCAAUUUCUUUAGAAUAAAAAAACCCUUAUUUUUCUUACUGCUUUGUCUGGUAUAAUAUGCAUAGCAUAUAAGUAAGAAAACAGAUUUUUGAAUUGCUAAGCAAAUGAAUACUAGGCCACUU
rnacentral:lncRNA from 1 species